UGCGGAAGGAUCAUUAUUGAAAUUAUAGGUGAGGGUUGUAGCUGGCCUCUCGGGGCAUGUGCACGCCCGAGCCCUUAAUCCACACACACCUGUGAACCUAUUGUAAGGGCCCUUAAAAAAGGCCUUUACGUCUUAUCAUCAACCCAUCGUAUGUCUCAUAGAAUGUAAAUAUAUGUCCUCGCCUUAAAAAGCGUUGAUAAACUUAUACAACUUUCAACAACGGAUCUCUUGGCUCUCGCAUCGAUGAAGAACGCAGCGAAAUGCGAUAAGUAAUGUGAAUUGCAGAUUUUCAGUGAAUCAUCGAAUCUUUGAACGCACCUUGCGCUCCUUGGUAUUCCGAGGAGCAUGCCUGUUUGAGUGUCAUUAAAUUCUCAACUCUGAUCGAUUUGUUUCGACUUCGGAGCUUGGAUUUGGAGCGUGCUGGCGUCGGUCGGCUCCUCUUAAAUGCAUCAGCGGAAUCUAACGUUUCGGAUGUCAGUGUGAUAAUCAUGUUGCGCUGUCUGUCUGAUCCGAAAGCCCGCUCAC
rnacentral:rRNA from 1 species